AUAUUUACCUAGAUUGAGUCAAUGGGCGAUCAAGAGGGCCCCUGACCUAAGUAGGUGACCUACAUUGCACAAUGGAGAGGUGCCCGCUUAAGGUCGAUCUGAGCGGUCGGGCCUAUGUAAUAUUUGUGGUAGUAGGGCCUAUGUUCGCACGGUCCCAC